AUGUUUCUUUCCAUCCUCACAGGUGUCAGCUGUGAAGAACUCACUCCAGUUGAGACAGAAGAGAACAGUUUAGAAGGCAGCUUUGUUACUCUGUCCUGUACAUACUCCAAAGGUUCUGCUGAUCAAUUCUUCUGGUAUCGACAAUAUUCAGGAAAGCAACCAGAGUUCAUCAUCUCUCAUCUGGAAUCAGGAAAAAUAAUGCAAACUACAAAUUCUGGACUGUCUGUUUCCGUAAGUGAGGAUAAAACCAAAAUGGUUCUUCAGAUCUCCUCUGCUGCAGUGAGAGACUCUGCUCUGUACUACUGUGCUGUGAGGCCCACAGUGACAGCAAACCCACAGUCUCUGAAUAAUAGCUGGAAAAUUUUUUUUUUGCUGUAGACGUUGAAGUCAGUAAAAAAGAAGGAGAAUCUGAUGUGA